GCAAUUAGCAUGUUAAAUUUGGGAUUUUAUACCUAGAAACUCCUAAGAAAUUUUGAAGAAAACCAAAGUUAUUUUGAUGGAAAAAGAUUUUUGAAAUUCAUAUUUAAGAUGUAUAAGAUCACAAAAAAGAAGAAGAAGAAACAAUAGGAGGAGUACGAUGUGAGGCAUAGUGACCACGUUGGAGUGAGGUCGGGGGUUAUGACCAAGUUUGCACUGUUGGUGAUUGCAGGCACUACUGUCAUUUUCUCUGGAUUUUUCCUUCUGCUCUCUCGUAUG
rnacentral:lncRNA from 1 species